AACGCACCUUGCGCUCCUUGGUAUUCCGAGGAGCAUGCCUGUUUGAGUGUCAUUAAUAUUAUAUGUCAAACCCUCUUUUUCUGAGUGGUUUGGAUGUGGGGGUGCUGGCCUCUUGAAGGGGGUCAGCUCCCCUGAAAUACAUUAGCAGAACGACCUGUUUGUUCAUUGGUGUGAUAACUAUCUACGCUAUUGAACAGUGAAGGCAGUUCAGCUUCCUAACAGUCUUUGGACAAUUUAUCAUCUAUGUGACCUCAAAUCAGGUAGGACUACCCGCUGAACUUAA
rnacentral:misc_RNA from 1 species